rnacentral:lncRNA from 1 species
UAUUGAUACACAUGUAUAUGCACCAAUUAUUGUAUACUAUAUGUUAGAUAUUUAAAAUAUUAGAUAAAAACUAAUCUAAAUUGGAAAAUAUGGUUUUGAAAGAUUAAUUCAAGAUUGGUACCUACCUUUUAAGAAAUAGUGAUUUGAAUGAGAAUGAGCCUGCCCAAACAAUAGAGAUCGGGAGAAUGUUCGGAGAGAUGUGUCCCGAAUGGUUGUCCAUAUCACUUCUAUGAUGUUUUGUUGUCAACCUUUUCGUUUUUUUUUUUGGUUUUGUUGUCAAUCUUAUAUUGUUGUUUUAUUGAUAAGAUGAAUUCUUUUAAAAACAAAUUUGAAAGCACUAGGGAAAAAAAUAAGUAAAUUAAUAUGUCAACUCCUAUUCUUAAGGAUAUGAUAUUACAUAUUUAUUUCUUUGUUGACUUGUAAGUUUUUUUUUUUUUUAAAAUUAUUUGACUUGUAAGUUCCUGUCAUACUUUAAUGUUUUCUUAAAGACCACCUACAAUUUUCAUUUUUCCACAAAUAUCCAUUUACAUAUUUUUACCCGAAAUUUCUGAGAAGUAACUCAACCUCAUU